GUUCCAACUGGGCUACCACCUUGGCUUCGGCCUCCGAAGGCAGGUUGUAAGUCCCCAUUGUUUUUGCAGUGUACAAACCGGGGGCGACCCGCUGCAUUGACGGCCGGGGCUCCAGUUGUUUCGAAGAAUGGAAGUAGUGGAUUCUCCGUUUUGGGUCCACUGCACCAGCCAAGCCUGUUUUGAAGAAUGGAAGCUUGUUCUCAUGAUGAGAUACAAUCUGAUCGCUGACGUACAUUCUUACCUAUAUAAACUAUAUUCAUAUGUGACAAAUUAAUAGGUAGUCGGGUAGUAAUUUCUUUUAGUUUUUUAAAUAAGAUUUAAAAUUAAUGUAAUAGUAGAUGUGAAGUAUGUAUUUUUAUUUUGAUUUUGAGCCAAUAAUAUACCGCCACAUGUACCAUUCUAACCAUCUCAACAAAAGCCAAAAAAAAAAAAAGGAAAAUGGAUUCGCCACCAUCUCCGCAUCCUCGUUCAUCGCUGCCUAAUACAAUGCCAGUCUUCGCUCCUCGCAUUCUUCUCGGC
rnacentral:lncRNA from 1 species